rnacentral:lncRNA from 1 species
ACUCAGAACCUCGGAGUUUAAGGGGAUAGUAUAAAAGCGAAGUAUGUGUAUCCUACCUGUGUGGUAGAGAUAGAAGGUAAAACACUUCUAAUUGAUUUGAUUUUCAAUACCACACCGAGCAGAAUAUGAAAAGCAGAUACACUCACCCCUUUGAGUAAUCAGGUGAUUUACUCUUUUAAAUUCGAGGACGAAUUUUAUAUAAGGAGGGGAGGAUGUAAUAACCCCAAAAAAAAAUUUUAUAUAAAAGGGAUAGAAUAGUCCUUUAAAAUUGAUAUAAGGGGUAAAAUGGGAAGGAAUCAAAAGAUAAUGGCAUAGUUGUAGAUGCGUUGAAGUGGUAAGGGUAAAAUUGGAAGGAAUCAAAAGUUAAUGGCACAACGGUAGAUAUGUUGAAGUGUUAGGGGCAAAAUGGGAAUUUAAUAAUAUUAAACAAAGGGUGAAUAGUGUUUUGAUGUGAUUUAAUUGGAGGGUUUGAGCUGGUGAAACCGAGAGAAAGAGGGAGGGGGUUCUCAGACGACACAGAGAGAAAGAAAAAGAGAAGAAGAAGAAGAAGAAAGAAGAAGAGGAAGGGGAUUCAAGGAGGAAAGAGAUUCCGGUUGCACUU